rnacentral:rRNA from 1 species
AUGAACGCUGGCGGCUUGCCUCAUACAUGCAAGUCGAGCGAACAGACGAGGAGCUUGCUCCUCUGACGUUAGCGGCGGACGGGUGAGUAACACGUGGAUAACCUACCUAUAAGACUGGGAUAACUUCGGGAAACCGGAGCUAAUACCGGAUAAUAUAUUGAACCGCAUGGUUCCAUAGUGAAAGACGGUUUUGCUGUCACUUAUAGAUGGAUCCGCGCCGCAUUAGCUAGUUGGUAAGGUAACGGCUUACCAAGGCAACGAUGCGUAGCCGACCUGAGAGGGUGAUCGGCCACACUGGAACUGAGACACGGUCCAGACUCCUACGGGAGGCAGCAGUAGGGAAUCUUCCGCAAUGGGCGAAAGCCUGACGGAGCAACGCCGCGUGAGUGAUGAAGGUCUUCGGAUCGUAAAACUCUGUUAUUAGGGAAGAACAAAUGUGUAAGUAACUAUGCACGUCUUGACGGUACCUAAUCAGAAAGCCACGGCUAACUACGUG